rnacentral:sRNA from 1 species
UAGAUGUUGAAAACGGUCUGUGUUCCGAA